AGAGCCUGUCCUCUGCUUCAGGAGAGGGAUGGUGUGGCUAUGAGGUAGAAGCCCUUUCUUGGUAAGGGAGGUGCUGGAACUGGAGGCUGGAAAGGAAACAGCACAGAGUCCUGAAGGGGUGACUGUUCUGAGUAGAAUGGACCCUGCAAGUGUGCAGAGACAGCUUGGCAGAACAGCAGGGACCAUCAAAGCACAGAUGCUGGGACCACACAGGUGAUUCAAAUUAGGGUUUGGCUAAGUUGUGUGAUCUUGGGCAACCCCCUCCUGGAUUCAUUUUCCUGGUUUACAAAAACACAAAGUGGUAACUAAUUUCACAAGAGAUUGAAGAAAAGAACUGAUGCAAGACAAGCACCCCCAAAGCAGUAUUGUGAUGUAAGACUGGUCACAGAGAGCACUGUGAGGGCAUCUUACAGCCACCUUCAUUUAGGAUGCUGUUUUUGAGGACCAUGACCCUUCUGUGAACUCCUGCCCUGAACACUGGACACUGAGUUCAUUCUGCGCUGGCCCAGGAACAGACAUCUGGCCGAGGGAAGGUCAACAUUAUUUAAAUCUGGAGCCACUGCUAUAGGAUGGAUCACCUGAGCACACAUUCAUCCUGACUCUGCUGAGCUGUCCCACUCUGUCAUUUCUACAGUUUGACUUGAUUCUCUGGAGCAGCCGCUGACAUCGAUUAUCACUGAAGGAGUCCUGGAGAUAACCAACUAUCAACUCAAUUGUGCAGAUGCCAUCAGAGGCUCAAAGAGCUCAACUGACUUAUCCAAAGUCACACACAAAGUUCAAAGCCACCUGUCAUUUUGGAAAAGGGAGAUGUCAUAAAAUGAGACUAAGAUGAUGUCGAGACUGAAAGAGAACAGAAGGCAUGAUGGCAGAGUCUCUCUGGAUCUGUGUUCCCUUAUUCCAAUGCCAGAAGAGAGGAGAAAAGAGAAUUUUUAGGAUGCUCCACAUGGACUUACUAUUCAAACAUUAUGAAUUAGUUAAGAACACUAGUUGUAGUUGGUUGAAUAUUUAUGCAAUGGGCUUCAUAAAUAAUAAUCAAUCAACAAUGUAAUAACUGGGGCUUCCGAGAAGACUCUGGGUUCCCAAUUCUUCUCUAUUGGUACCUAGAAUUCUGCCUUUGGGAAUUAAUCCUUUGGAUUACAGAAAUACAAAAAUGGCCUUAGAAGAAUCAGCAGCACCUUAAAUC